GUUGAACAUAUGUGAUUUAUCCUGAUUAUGGAAGAAUAAGCAACAUUAAAGUCCAUGCCACACUCCCAUUUCAGUGUUCACAUUAAGUUUUGUAAAUUGUUCAAAAAAGCUGGAGCAUUGUGUUUGAAAGCACAAGCUGUUUAUGAAUUGGUUAUAAGAGGAAUUAUAAUGCACUUAAAAUUUCUCUUCAUUAUGAAGUUUCUCUGCAGGAAAACUGGGUCAUCUUUUGUAACAAGAAAAGAAAAGAAUAGUGCAGAUGGCCAUAGCGAAUGUGACCAUGAUGCCAUUAUUUCACAAACAAAAAUAACUAUAAAAAUAUUUUUUUUAAAUCAGAGAUAACCUCCAGCCCAGUGGAAGAGAAUGGAUUCAUGGGUUUCUCAUAAAUGCACGGCACAAUUUAUGCACAUUUUCUAUUCAAACCUCAAAGUUACUUUCCUAAACCUUUGCAGCUCUGCAAAAAUCACAACAAACAUAAAGAUAAUAAACCAAAAUUCUUGGUGUUCUAAAUGACAAUCCAUAUAGCUCAUAAGGAUUUGAGAAAUAUUUAUUGAAAUGUAAAAGCAAAGAAAAGCAACUUACUGUUAAGAAUUUGUGGAAAAUAUAAAAACAAUAAUAUCUGUUUUUAUCCUUUUACUUUUGAUUUUACAACAACAGUUACAAUAAGCCAUCAUUUCUGUUCAAAUGUUGGAGCCAAGGAGUCUUUUAAGAGCUAAAAGCACCAAUUUCUGGCUAUAUGAAACUUAAAAUAAGACAAAACUAAGAAAAGAAAUUUAGAACCUAAAAUAAAUGCAUCAAAUGUGGUUCCAAAAUAGGUUACAAACCAAUCUGUGAUUGUUUUUUAACAGUUACACCACAAAUUAUCAUGGUAAACAUAAUACCUGGUUUGCACUAUUAUCCUAUCAUUGAUAUUUAGUUGUUUGUUAUUUGUAUUACAUGGUUCGAAACACUGAUGUCUAUAUGGAGCCUCAUAGAACUGCUAGCAUGGCUAUGGCCUCACACAUAAAUUGCAAAGAAAUUUUUAACAUACAUGGACGUACAGACUUUUAUUUAAAAAACUUUUUCUUCUAAAUGAAGAAAAAAAAGCUCAAUUCAGUAAUUAAAAGAGGCAUUCAUAUAUAGAUUAAAAGUCAUAUUUAGAUAUGAAAAUAAAGUUCAGCAUGCACUGGACAUUUAGUUCUUAAAACAAUGAGGGGUAAUAUGAAAUAAAACCCUCUGCCAUGCAUUUGGUUAACAAGUGAUAUGUGGUUUUCAUCCUUUCAAGCGUCUUCUGAAAGAAACUCAGAAGCACUUCGCUUAAUUUAUCCUCAUCCAUAUCUUCGUCAAAUUGCACACACUUUUCAUAAUCUGUAUAUGGAAUAUAGGAAAGGAAAUGACAAUGAAAUGUUAAAACUUAAACUGAUUUAUAUAUGCACACUCAAAAGUGACACAGAGUGUGCUACACCAUCAUAAAAUCAUCAUGCUGCCCAAAAGACAUAAAAACACAUUUUUGAAAGAAGAAAGAGGAUCAUUUACAUAUGUGCUAUCUGUUCCUUUUUUUUUUUGGUUGCUGUAAAAGUCUCACCAUGAUCAGUGUUGAGGAGUUGGGGUUUAGACCAUCCCAGACACUCUGCCUGUGUCUCAAACUCCGUCAGCUCAGCAGCAGAAACAGCUGUUCGUCUACCUGGUGAAGCAGUGCGACAUCUGAGAUAAAAGGCCUGUGAUAAUAUGAUGGAUUGUAUUGAACCUUGUAUUUCUCACAGCGUGCAUUUUGCUUUUUGUUUAACUACAACAGGAAAUUACAAAUUAUGAAUGGUCUAAAAGCCCCCAGCCCUGCCACCUUACUGAAGAGCAAAAGAUGACUUUUAUCCUCUUUAGAGACGAGGCAGUCAGGACAGCCAGUGUGCAGCAGCACGUCUGGUUGAUCAACUGUGGCAUCUGUUGGAAUCAUUAAAGUAAUUUAAAGUAUUUAAAUGGUAGUAAUAUAUUAAAUUGUUAUUGAACUACAGCUUGUAGUCAGAGUAUAUUUAAAAGAAAAACCUCUUACUUUCACUGUCGAGUUCAAAUAUGCUGCUGUUUGCAUAGAGAAAUCUUGAGGUUCCAUUGAUACAAACUCCAUUCCUGCAACAUUCAUCAUUACAGAUUUAACACCUGAAAGAACAGCUGAACAAUGUUACCAUGUUAAAUGCUAUUAAUUUAACUAAAAAACAAAAAAUAAAACAUUACUUACGCUUUCAAAUAAGUAGUAUCACCAUAGAGGUUUGGUUCGCCCUUAGAAAUUACAUCCACUGCGGCACUUGGGGAAAAUAAAGCACUGACUAAUGUUGAAGACAGGCAAAACUCUGUGGACACAGCUAUAAAGUGCCACCUCCCAAUCAGCUGAAAUAAAAGAUUUGUUUUAAUUGAUUGAUUCAUUAUUUAUUUUGGAAAUUCACAAAAAAAACCAUUCAGAAUAUUUCCCUCCAUCACAUCUCAGAAAAAAAUUGCAAGUUUUAACAGCUGAAACAAAACAAAUGUGGAAAGACACUUACAUCUGGACGUUGGUCGACUGGCUUUAACAGCUUCUCACAGGCCAGCGAUGCAGGCUGGCCCACUGAGAUGAGACUCAGCAAAACAAGAGCAGCACUCAAAGUCUUCAUCCUCACAGAUAUGUGUUCUCUAAAGCCCCUUGUUGGUAUCAGCUCUGCCUUAAAAUAACAUCACCAACCAGUUAUUUUUCUGCUUCAUCCACCCGCCCCUGUCUGGGCAGCUACAGAACAGAUAACCACAUGUUAACCCUGAUGUUAUUUGACCAAGC
ensembl:lncRNA